rnacentral:rRNA from 1 species
GAGUUUGAUUAUGGCUCAGGAUGAACGCCGGCGGCGUGCCUAACACAUGCAAGUCGAGCGAGAAUCUUGCGAGUGGAGACUUCGGUCGAAGCGAACAAGAGGAAAGCGGCGGACGGGUGAGUAACGCGUGGGUAACCUGCCUUUCACACAGGGAUAGCCACCGGAAACGGUGAUUAAUACCAGAUGAUAUACUUUAUUUGCAUGAAUGAAGUAUCAAAGAUUUAUCGGUGAAAGAUGGACCCGCGUCUGAUUAGCUAGUUGGUGGGGUAAAGGCCUACCAAGGCGACGAUCAGUAGCCGACCUGAGAGGGCGAACGGCCACACUGGAACUGAGACACGGCCCAGACUCCUACGGGAGGCAGCAGUGGGGAAUAUUCGGCAAUGGGGGGAACCCUGACCGAGCAACGCCGCGUGAGCGAUGAAGGUCUUCGGAUUGUAAAGCUCCGUUGGAUGGGAAGAUAAGGACGUACCAUCUGAGGAGCCCCG